CAAUGGGCUGGAGGGUGUGCGGAUUGAGAGCAAGGGCUGCCUGGCCACAAUGACCACCUUCAACAUCUGAGAGAAGGACUAUGGCAACUACACGUGAGGCCACGAACAAGCUGGGCAACACCAAUGCCAGCAUCAUCCUCUAUGGUAGGUGCUCUGGGUUUUUUUGCAGCAAGGUGUAGUGAGGAGGAGGAAGAAGAAUAGGAGGAGGUUGGGUGGCCAGCAAUGGAAGGGAGUGGGUUUUAUUUAGCAAUGCCAGCCUAGCAAGGUGCCAAAGGGA